UCCUACGGGGGGCAGCAGUGGGGAAUAUUGCGCAAUGGGCGAAAGCCUGACGCAGCGACGCCGCGUGAGGGAUGAAGGUCUUCGGAUCGUAAACCUCUGUCAGCAGGGAAGAACGGUCACUGUGCUAAUCAGCAGUGAAUUGACGGUACCUGCAAAGGAAGCACCGGCUAACUCCGUGCCAGCAGCCGCGGUAAUACGGAGGGUGCGAGCGUUAAUCGGAAUUACUGGGCGUAAAGCGCUCGUAGGCGGUAUGUCAAGUCAAGGGGGAAAUCCCCGCGCUCAACGGGGGAACUGCCUGUGAAACU
rnacentral:rRNA from 1 species